CGAACGCUGGCGGCGUGCUUACCACAUGCAAGUCGAACGGAAAGGCCCUGCUUUUGUGGGGUGCUCGAGUGGCGAACGGGUGAGUAACACGUGAGUAACCUGCCCUUGACUUUGGGAUAACUUCAGGAAACUGGGGCUAAUACCGGAUAGGAGCUCCUGCUGCAUGGUGGGGGUUGGAAAGUUUCGGCGGUUGGGGAUGGACUCGCGGCUUAUCAGCUUGUUGGUGGGGUAGUGGCUUACCAAGGCUUUGACGGGUAGCCGGCCUGAGAGGGUGACCGGCCACAUUGGGACUGAGAUACGGCCCAGACUCCUACGGGAGGCAGCGGUGGGGAAUAUUGCACAAUGGGCGGAAGCCUGAUGCAGCAACGCCGCGUGCGGGAUGACGGCCUUCGGGUUGUAAACCGCUUUCGCCUGUGACGAAGCGUGAGUGACGGUAAUGGGUAAAGAAGCACCGGCUAACUACGUG
rnacentral:rRNA from 1 species